rnacentral:rRNA from 1 species
UUGUUGGUAGGGUAAAGGCUUACCAAGGCUUCGAUCAGUAGCUGGUCUGAGAGGACGGCCAGCCACACUGGGACUGAGACACGGCCCAGACUCCUACGGGAGGCAGCAGUGGGGAAUUUUGGACAAUGGGGGAAACCCUGAUCCAGCCAUGCCGCGUGAGUGAAGAAGGCCUUCGGGUUGUAAAGCUCUUUCAGCCGGAAAGAAACGGUUACGGAUAAUACCCGUGACUACUGACGGUACCGGAAGAAGAAGCACCGGCUAACUACGUGCCAGCAGCCGCGGUAAUACGUAGGGUGCGAGCGUUAAUCGGAAUUACUGGGCGUAAAGCGUGCGCAGGUGGUUUUGUAAGUCAGAUGUGAAAGCCACGGGCUCAACCUGGGAACUGCGUUUGAAACUACAAGACUAGAGUGUGGCAGAGGGGGGUGGAAUUCCGCGUGUAGCAGUGAAAUGCGUAGAGAUGUGGAGGAACACCGAUGGCGAAGGCAGCCCCCUGGGUUAACACUGACACUCAGGCACGAAAGCAUGGGGAGCAAACAGGAUUAGAUACCCUGGUAGUCCAUGCCCUAAACGAUGUCAACUAGUUGUCGGGCCUUUACGGGCUUGGUAACGUAGCUAACGCGUGAAGUUGACCGCCUGGGGAGUACGAUCGCAAGAUUAAAACUCAAAUGAAUUGACGGGGACCCGCACAAGCGGUGGAUUAUGUGGAUUAAUUCGAUGCAACGCGAAAAACCUUACCUACCCUUGACAUGUAUCGAAGCCCGCAGAAAAGCGGGGGUGCCCGAAAGGGAACGAUAACACAGGUGCUGCAUGGCUGUCGUCAGCUCGUGUCGUGAGAUGUUGGGUUAAGUCCCGCAACGAGCGCAACCCUUGUCAUUAAUUGCCAUCAUUUAGUUGGGCACUUUAAUGAGACUGCCGG